UGAGGAAUAUUGGUCAAUGGGCGAGAGCCUGAACCAGCCAAGUCGCGUGAGGGAAGACGGUCCUAUGGAUUGUAAAACCUCUUUUGCCGGGGAGCAAAGAGCGGCACGUGUGCCGCGCCGAGAGUACCCGGAGAAAAAGCAUCGGCUAACUCCGUGCC
rnacentral:rRNA from 1 species